UUUUUUUUUCCACCGGGUGCAUCCGAUGGGGUGGGCUGUGGCUCACGAGGGCUUGUGCUCUAGUGGAUUUGUUGGUCUCUGGGGUGCCACAAGUACUCCUUUUCUUUUUGCGAAUACAGACUAACACGGCUGCUACUCUGAAACUU